rnacentral:rRNA from 1 species
GACGAACGCUGGCGGCGUGCUUAACACAUGCAAGUCGAACGGAAAGGCCCUGCUUGCAGGGUACUCGAGUGGCGAACGGGUGAGUAACACGUGGGUGAUCUGCCCUGCACUUCGGGAUAAGCUUGGGAAACUGGGUCUAAUACCGGAUAGGAACCAUCUUUAGUGUGGUGGUUGGAAAGUUUUUUCGGUGUAGGAUGAGCUCGCGGCCUAUCAGCUUGUUGGUGGGGUAAUGGCCUACCAAGGCGGCGACGGGUAGCCGGCCUGAGAGGGUGUACGGCCACAUUGGGACUGAGAUACAGCCCAGACUCCUACGGGAGGCAGCAAUGGGGAAUAUUGCACAAUGGGCGCAAGCCUGAUGCAGCGACGCCGCGUGGGGGAUGAAGGCCUUCGGGUUGUAAACUCCUUUCGCUAGGGACGAAGCUUUGUUGUGACGGUACCUAGAUAAGAAGCACCGGCUAACUACGUG